UCGUCCACCUGCUGGGGACAGAUGAAAUGGAUGUGGGCGUCGAUGCCGCCGGCGGUGAGGAUGGACUUCUCACCGGCAAUGGCUUCCGUGCCGGGACCGAUGACGAUGUCAACGCCCGGCUGCACAUCGGGAUUGCCGGCCUUGCCGAUGCCGCUGAUGCGGCCGUCCUUGAUGCCGAUAUCGGCCUUGACGAUGCCCCAGUGGUCGAGGAUCAGGGCGUUGGUAAUGACCACGUCCACGGCAUCGCUACCGCCGGCCUGGCUCUGGCCCAUGCCGUCGCGG
rnacentral:sRNA from 1 species